CAUUAAGAAGCUUUCAAACUAAGCAAUAGCCUUUUAAGCUGUAGAUCGGUGAUUUAUCCACCCUUAAUGA
rnacentral:tRNA from 1 species